GAUGAACGCUGGCGGCGUGCCUAAUACAUGCAAGUCGAGCGAAAGGACGAGGAGCUUGCUUCUCUGAUGUUAGAGGCGGACGGGUGAGUAACACGUGGAUAACAUACCUAUAAGACUGGGAUAACAUCGGGAAACCGGAGCUUAUACCGGAUAAUAUUUUGAAUCGCAUGGUUCAAAAGUGGAAGUAGGUCUUUGUGUCACUUAUAGAUGGAUCCGCGCUGGAUUCGCUAGUUGGUAAGGUAACGGCUUACCAAGGCAACGAGGCAUAGCCGACCUGAGAGGGAGGUCAGACACCUUGGAUCUGAGACACGUCCCAGACUCCUACGCUAGGCCACAGUAGGGAAUCUUACGCAAUGGACGAAAGCCUGACAGAGCACAAUCGCCGGAGGCAUGAUGGACUUCUGAUCGUAGAGCUCUGUUGUUAUGAAGGAACAUAUGUGCAAUUAACUGUGCACAUCAUGACGGUACCUAAUGAGAAAGCCACGGCUAACUACGUG
rnacentral:rRNA from 1 species